CAAGAAGAAAAACCUUGAAUAUACAUACUAUAAUAACUUAACAUCUGUUUCUCUGGGAAAUAAAGAGACCCUGGUGUUACAUAAUGUGCAGUCUUCAGACUCUGGAGAAUAUAAAUGCUACCUGGCUGCAGAGGUUGGAGGUCGAAAUGACCAUUCUUUAAUUGGAUUGAACAUCUCAGAAUGUUUAAAUAUGAGCACAGUUUAUCCCAUCACCACCACGAUCCCAGCUGAUUCCUGUCCUGUUGUAGCAGAAUUAACUGUUCCCUGGGCUGUCAUUGGCUUUUCUCUUAUCAGCAUGACCAAAGUCAUUCUUUGCAUUAUAACUGUGGGGGUGUGUGAUCGAGUCAUAUUUAGAACACUAAGAAGAAAACAGGAAGUAAGGGGAAGCAAGACUGGAAGGUCAAGCUGGAAAGAUUGAGGUUCACAAAAAGCUGAUGGUCAUUUUAGUUUUACACAUCCAUUAGCCAAGUUAAAACAGUCCAAGCCUGUAAACAUUUACAGGGUUGUUCGCACCAUUAGGUUGUUUUGAUAGGAUCCGUUUUUAUUUCUGUGUGGUUUUGCUAUUCUUAUACUUUUUAUGGUCUAUUCCUAGAGAGACAGGCUAUAAUGGGGGCUGUUCUAUAGCUGUUGAGGGAGAGGAGAGUCAUGGAGGGUUGCAGUUUAUUAGGCCUGUGCCACAGCUGCAC
rnacentral:lncRNA from 1 species